rnacentral:rRNA from 1 species
GACGAACGCUGGCGGCGUGCUUAACACAUGCAAGUCGAACGGAAAUGCCCUGCAUUUGUGGGGUGCUCGAGUGGCGAACGGGUGAGUAACACGUGAGUAACCUGCCCUUGACUUUGGUUUAACUUCAUGCAACUUGGGCUAAUACCGGAUAGGAUCUCCUGCUGCAUGGUGGGCGUUGGAAAGUUUCGGCGGUUGGGGAUGGAAUCGCGGCUUAUCAGAUUGUUGGUGGGGUAGUGGCUUACCAAGGCUUGGACGGGUAGCCGAGCUGAGAGGGGAAGCGGACAAAUUAGGACGGGAAUAAGGCACAGACUACAACGGGAGGGAGGGGAGGAGAAUAUAGCAUAAGGGGCGGAGGGCUGAUGCAGCAAAGCAGCGUGGGGGAUGAGAGGCUUCGGGUUGUAAAGCGAUGUCGCCUGUGACGAAGCGAGAGUGACGGUAAUGGGUAAAGAAGCACCGGCUAACUACGUG